GCGCACAGCAGGUGACGCACCUCGACACCCCUAAAUCACAAACUCACGCUAAAGAAGCGCCUGCUCGAGGCCUUUUUGCAUCUGUACGCACUCAUGCGAGAGAUCGUGGCAGCGGAGCCGCCGUUCGCCUGCACGCCGGCGCUUGUUCUAAUAAUUUCAGAGCCGAAGCACGCGCAGACGCUGCUGCGGGCCGCAAAUCUGCACCUUCCCCUCGACGAGACCGAGGGUGGGCAUUUGAAGCGACUGCGACCGCGCCGCUGCGUGACACUGGUGCCAAUUACGGAGCCCCGAUCUCCACCACCUGCGACUCCGCCCUCGAGCUUGGAGCUUCUCCUCGCACUUCAGCCACUCGAGAGAUGCGGCGCGGCGCACACGGCUUCCAUCUUGACAAGCAAUGCUUCUUCUUCAUGUGACGCGAUCGGCGGGAUAGGCGCCAAUUCUGGCGCUGCAGGCAGCGACCAUGCUGCCUUGAAACACCGGCUUUUGUGGCCUUUGACUCGAGCAGAGGAGUCACUGUGUGCUGAACAGGUGCUUAGGCUUCUCUCCAGCGACUUCGCGUCAACCUCAAAAGUGGCGCCGUUUCGUGCAUUCGUAGAGACGGCUUCUGCCGUGACCGCCGGAAACUCCGCAGCAUGCGGCACACGCCAGCAAGCGAUCGGGAUCUGUGACCGCAACGAUGACACAGAAGACUAUACUUCAACGUCGAGCUCCUCUCGCGUAGGGGACGACACCGCACCCUCCUCGGAUGCUGCUGCUGCUCCUUGCGGAUCGCUUGCUUUUCAAAUCAUGUCUGUGCCAGCGACGGCCCCGAGGUCUGAUCCGGCGGAAUGGAUGAGCGCUAACCGCGUGUGGCCGCUCGCUGUACCCCGUCCUCACGCUCCCACUCUGCCGUCCGCCGCGUGGACGGCAGAGGUGUGCGCGAACAUGGUGAAGCACGUGUUUCCCCUCUGCCGUGGUCUGCACCGUGUCUGUGAGGCUCGCGAUCAACGCGUGCGUGCCAGCAGGCUUUCUUCGGAGAGGGGGGUGGAGGAGUCCUCGAAAGCUGCGUCUUCGCCGCAAAUCAGUGUGGCGGAAGAGGAGGCUGUCGUCGGCGCGAAGGAGCCCGGUGGGCUGCUCGACAUUGUAGCUGUCGUGAUCGAUCCUUCCACAGGGCGUGUUGUGGCGACCAGUUCUGGCUGCACAUCCAUGCGAGUGGACAACCCUGUUGCUGCAGCGCCGUACUGCGGUAUUUUCGCAGAAACGCCCUGCGAUGAGCACACCGUUUCAUGGAAGCGGCAGCGCGCAGCAGCGCCGCAGCAACCGCGCCUGAUCCUCGAACACCCCGUGAUGUACGCCUUGAAGCAGCUGGCCGCCGUACAGCAACAAGAAGAACAUCAGCGGCAGACGAUGCAGCCUUCCCGCGGCAUGGCCGGGGCGUUCACCGCCCCUGGGAGCCUGGCGCCCGGGCUGUCCAGUGCGGUCACUUCUGAGGGUGCGCGCCACGCAAACAGCUCUCGUCCAUAUCUGGCGAACGGGCUGGACCUCUACGUGACGCAUGAGCCGUGCGUUAUGUGUGCCAUGGCGCUGGUGCACAGUCGCAUCCAUCGCGUGUUUUUUCUCUUCCGAAACGCAGUCCACGGUGGUCUUGGCAGCUGCUAUAACCUGCAUUUGAUGGCCUCGCUGAAUCACCACUUCAGCGCAUACGAGUGCACGGAGGCGGCGGAGCUGUACACGACGCUGUAGUACCAUGGGUUUGCAAGCGAGGGGGAGCACGUGCAUGUGCUUGUGUAGGUGUCUCUGCAUGCCGCUGAGGCGAUGAUAGUGGCGAUCUCACGUGUGGCUCUGCCGUUGUGGUUGGGAGCGUGUGCGGCGACCUCUUCACACAUACUGAAUCAAAACCGAUGUGCGUUGACAUAUCGGGCUAGAAGGGGGGAGCGGCUCUCUUGCACGACACGCGCACGCAUCAAAGCUGCUGCACACACCUCCGGCCCAAGGAGGCACAACGAAAAAAAAAAAACAAUCGGAACGACCGUAAAAUGGGCAACACGGCAGAGCGCAAGUGUGCCGCCGUGCUGGCAGAGGGGCUGAGGGGCUGAGGGGGCUCUGCGGAGCGGCUUUACCUAUUCUUUGCUUUUUAUUGGAAGGCCAAAAACGUCAAGAAUCGACCGUCCCGGACUACAACAUUUUUGAUCGCUGUGCGUGGUGGCAAAAACGGCAGAUGGACGCAUCGUCGGCGGGCUCGUGGUGCCCACGGCGUGUGAUACACCGCGUGUUUCUUUGAUUGCCGUUUUCCAGGCUCCGGGAUGGCGUUGAGGAAGCACGCGGAGGAGGUUGCCCCCGCGCGCGUUCAUCACUGCCAUGUGCUGUGUGAUGGGCCUGUGACACGCCGGGCCGAGUGACGUUUGACUCACCUUUGAGGGCAGAGAGCGGACGCGCUGAAGAGCAACAAGAAGGACCCAGGCAAAGUCGCGGUGCGGCCUGAAUGCGGUUUAUUGCUUCGCAUCGGAACAAUAAGACGCCGCAUGGGCGCUGGUGCAGUGCCGAGUGUGACAAGGCGAGCCGAUAAAACAGAGCUUGUGGAGGCCAUGAGAACCACCUUCCCGGCAUCUCUCAUUCGGUGUCCGUGUUUCGCCGGCUCGUGCAGAUGUUUCACCGCUUUCAGUGACGCUGUGAUGCACUCUUUGAAGCACCACCUCGUUUUUCUCUGUUCUUCUAGCGUGCGCACUCUCGCUUGCUACUCCUCCCCAUCUCUCUGCGUGGCUGUUGUUCACUUUUUCUGCCUGCACGCCACCUGUCGGACAACACCCCCGACCUCGCCCGGAACACAUGGCAAUGCAUACACGCACAAACAUGCAAAUACACACAG
rnacentral:misc_RNA from 1 species